rnacentral:lncRNA from 1 species
CUAAAAGUUGAGUUGGCUUCCUCUCUAUUUCACUUCUAGGAAUAUCGUGAUCAAUUAGCCAACACUAUUUGGGUGCUGGAGGCGAAUUGGCAGGAAACAAGGAUCUUGAGAUGUUAUGUGCUUGAGAGUGACCAACAGUACCAGGGAAAAAAGAAGAAUAAAACCAAUGAAUAGUGGAGAAGGUGGUAAAGACCAGAAAGAAGAAAAAUAGUGCCAGAUAAAAAAACAGAAGGUCACCUGGAAAAAACUGUGCUCCCAACUGGAGCCCUAAGUUGCCCUUCCCUGCAUUUCUCAGUAGAAACCUUUUAUGACAGAAGGGUUUGAGAUGAUAUAUUCAAAAUGCUGAAUGAAAAUGUCAUCUGAGAAUUCAACACCCAGAAAAAAAGUGUCUUUUGAAAAUAAAGAUGACAUACAUUUCCCCACAAACAAAAGCUGAGGGAGUUUGUCACCACCAGACCUGCCUACAACAAAUGCCAAGGGGGAUUUUCAAGUUGAAAAGAAAGGACAAAAAACAACAAUAU